GUACGUGAAACCGCUUAGGGGUUAAGCCCGAUGAACCUGAAUAUCUGAAAUGAGAAAUUCAAUACUAUUUUAUUUUGCUAUUUUAAUUAUAUAUAGUUUAAUAAUGGUAUGCACUUUUCUCAUAGUAAGACAUUGCGAUCCAUUAGUGUAUAUAUAUGUAAUAAUAUAUAAUUUUAUCAUACGACCCAUAUAGUUCAGUUUAUUCUAUCUGUAAUGCAUUUUAUGUAUUAUAUGAAUAAUGCUAUUUGUGGUGUUCUGAUAAACAGCUGAUGGAGCUUAAUAAUCAUGCAAUACAUGUCUUUUUGAAAUGUAUCACGGUUUAUAUAUUUUUUUAAAUGUAUAAAUGCAGUGAUUGCAUGUAUUUGAUUAGCAAUGCGAUAGAUUUAGGAUACCUUCGGGACCCGUCUUGAAACACGGACCAAGAAGUCUAACAUGUAUGUAAGUCAUUGGGUAAAUUUCAUCAAUUUUUAAUUGUUGAAACCUAAAGGCGUAAUUAAAAUAACUAUAUAUUAUUUUAAUAUAAAUGGGAUUACAAGCAAUUUUUUUUUUCUGUAAAAGGGAAUUAAAAAUUGUUUCUCCAUCCCGGGGCGUUCUAUAUUGAACAUGGUUUAAGUAAUUAGACCCUCUGUUCAGGAGCGUACCUUGAACAUACAUGCUGUGACCC
rnacentral:rRNA from 1 species